AGAUCUAUCGAAUGGCACUAUAAAAUUAAUAAAAGUAAGCCAGAAAUAUAUUUUCGUAACUACAAAGUAUCAUCAAUUAGUUGCCCCAUACAUAUAUCUCUCAUUUAUUGUCCCCUUCAAUUUACAUUCACAGAGGACGCGCUUACAAGAGCAAAGCCUCUCUCUCCCUCUAAUUCUCUCUCCGAUCUCUCUCUAUCUCAUCGGUUGGCGAGCAAUUCCAACGAAGGUCGCUGGUAGCUUAGUCUUCGCUUCAUUCACUGUGAUCUCAUCUGGAUCUCUAGGGUUCCUCAAAUCUUCACUGUCAGAUUUCAUCUCUAAAAAUGCCUCUCAGACUCGAAAUAAAGAGGAAACUUGCCCAAAGAUCAGAAAGAGUGAAAUCCGUGGAUCUGCAUCCGACGGAGCCAUGGAUUUUGGCAAGUUUGUACUCCGGGACCGUUUGUAUUUGGAACUAUCAGUCUCAGACUAUGGUGAAGUCUUUUGAGGUUACCGAAUUACCAGUUAGAUCCGCAAAAUUUAUAGCACGCAAGCAAUGGGUUGUAGUUGGUGCUGAUGACAUGUAUAUUCGUGUAUACAAUUACAAUACAAUGGAUAAGGUCAAAGUAUUUGAGGCGCACACAGAUUAUAUUAGGUGUGUGGCUGUUCAUCCUACCCUUCCAUAUGUUCUGUCAUCAUCUGAUGACAUGCUUAUAAAGCUCUGGGAUUGGGAGAAGGGAUGGGUGUGCACUCAAAUUUUUGAGGGUCAUUCCCAUUAUGUGAUGCAAGUGACAUUUAAUCCAAAAGACACCAACACUUUUGCAAGUGCAUCUCUUGAUCGCACUAUAAAGAUUUGGAAUCUUGGCUCUCCAGACCCAAAUUUUACACUGGAUGCUCAUUUGAAAGGGGUAAAUUGUGUUGAUUACUUCACGGGAGGUGAUAAACCUUACUUAAUCACUGGUUCUGAUGAUCACACUGCUAAGGUGUGGGACUAUCAAACCAAAAGUUGUGUCCAGACAUUAGAAGGCCACACACAUAAUGUGUCUGCCGUAUGCUUUCAUCCUGAACUUCCCAUAAUAAUUACAGGAUCUGAGGAUGGUACUGUUCGUUUAUGGCAUGCAACCACUUAUAGACUUGAGAACACAUUGAAUUAUGGUCUUGAAAGAGUUUGGGCUAUUGGAUACAUGAAAAGUUCACGCCGGGUUGUAAUUGGUUAUGAUGAAGGAACCAUUAUGGUAAAAAUUGGUCGAGAAGAACCUGUAGCUAGUAUGGACAAUAGUGGAAAAAUCAUAUGGGCUAAGCAUAAUGAAAUUCAGACUGUUAAUAUCAAGAGUGUGGGAGCAGAUUAUGAGGUUACUGAUGGAGAGAGAUUGCCUUUGGCAGUUAAAGAGCUGGGGACCUGUGAUCUUUACCCACAAAGCUUAAAGCAUAAUCCCAAUGGGAGGUUUGUUGUUGUGUGCGGAGAUGGUGAAUACAUUAUAUAUACAGCUUUGGCAUGGAGAAAUAGAUCAUUUGGUUCAGCAUUGGAGUUUGCUUGGUCAUCUGAUGGGGAAUAUGCUGUUAGAGAAAGUACCUCAAAGAUUAAGCUUUUUAGCAAAAAUUUCCAGGAAAAGAAGAGCAUCCGGCCUACUUUUUCUGCUGAGCGCAUAUAUGGGGGAACUUUGUUGGCAAUGUGCUCAAAUGAUUUCAUUUGUUUUUAUGAUUGGGCUGAGUGCAGGUUGAUUCGAAGGAUUGACGUCACUGUCAAAAAUCUCUACUGGGCUGAUAGUGGUGAUUUAGUGGCAAUUGCCAGUGACGCAUCAUUCUACAUACUAAAGUACAGUCGUGAUGUAGUUUCUGCACAUUUAGAUAGUGGAAGACCUGUAGAUGAACAAGGCGUUGAAGAUGCCUUUGAGCUUCUUUAUGAAAUAAAUGAAAGAGUCAGGACCGGAAUAUGGGUCGGGGAUUGUUUCAUUUAUAACAACUCUUCUUGGCGACUAAAUUACUGUGUUGGUGGUGAGGUAACCACGAUGUUUCAUUUGGACCGGCCCAUGUACUUACUGGGAUAUCUAGCUAAUCAGAGCAGGGUGUAUCUGAUUGACAAAGAGUUCAAUGUUAUGGGAUACACCUUACUUCUCAGUUUGAUUGAGUACAAGACACUGGUGAUGCGUGGUGACCUGGAACGAGCCAAUGAGGUUUUACCUUCAAUUCCCAAGGACCAUCAGAAUAGUGUGGCACGUUUCUUGGAAUCACGAGGAAUGAUAGAGGAUGCACUGGAAGUAGCUACAGACCCUGACUACAGAUUUGAUCUAGCCAUACAACUGGGAAAACUAGAGGUUGCAAAGGAAAUUGCCACGGGAGCAAUGAGUGAGUCCAAAUGGAAGCAGUUGGGUGAAUUAGCUAUGUCCACUGGAAUGUUAGAGAUGGCUGAGGAAUGUUUAAAGCAUGCAAUGGAUCUAAGUGGUUUGUUGCUGCUCUACUCUUCUUUAGGAGACGCAGAAGGAAUAUCAAAACUUGCAUCUCUUGCUAAAGAGCAUGGAAAAAACAAUGUUGCAUUCCUUUGUCUGUUCAUGCUUGGAAAAAUGGACGAGUGCCUACAGUUGUUGGUAGACAGCAAUCGGAUACCUGAGGCUGCUUUGAUGGCAAGGUCUUAUCUUCCAAGCAAGGUUUCUGAGAUAGUUGCAAUUUGGAGAAAAGACCUCAACAAGGUUAAUCAGAAAGCUGCAGAUUCUUUGGCCGAUCCCGAGGAGUAUCCUAAUUUAUUUGAGGACUGGCAAGUUGCUCUUGGCGUUGAAUCAAAAGUUGCAGACACAAGGGGUACUUAUCCUCCAGCAGUGGAAUAUGUAAACUAUGCUGAUAGAUCAAAUGUCAACCUUGUGGAGGCUUUCAAAAACAUGCAGAUAGAAAACGAGGAGCCACUUGAAAAUGGAGGCUUGGAUCACGAGGUUGUAGAGCAGAAUGGAGAAGAUGAGGGGCAAGAAGAGGGACAAGAAGAGGCUGUCGUUGUGGAUGCUGAGGACGGUCCUGUACUCGUUAAUGGUAACGAGGCUGAUGAACAGUGGGGUAUGAAUAAUGAAGGAAAUCCGUCAGCCUAAAAGCAAUUGGUUGGGCCAGUGUGAAAAUCCUAAUUUUGUCACUGUGCUGACACCACGUCACCAGGUCCAGUGAAGACAGUCGGUCCCAGCUGUAUCCAUUCCCAUUUAAGGUUGCUGAAAUUGUGGGACCGUUUGUCUCUAUUUUGCUGCUGGUACGGUGUGAUUUUGUAGCGCUUGGAAUUUUGUCAUGGGGCACACAUAUAUAUUCUUUUUCCAACUUUAAUUACUCGUGUAGUUGUUCUUGGUUGUUUUAGCAUAUUCAUUGAGGCAGAUUUUUUCCUUCAAAUUUACAUGCCAUUGCGAAUGUAGAAUCAUUUAUAGCGGUGUCAAAUAUAUAAUUACAGAGUUCAACCUUUUUAAAAAUUUUAUUUUCUUGGGUGUAAGAAGUUCAACCCUUUUCACCUUUCAAAUUUCAUAUUUUUUGGUGGAUGGGAUCUGUAAAAGAGAGUUAAUUUUGAAUAUGAUGAAGUCUAAAUGUCCAAUAAAUCCUGCAUUUCAGAGACCUCUGCAAACAUCAAGUGAGGAAAGUUUGCCGCAUACAGUAUCAGAAAACAAUCUUACAAGAUACAUUCUACAACCCUAUAUUUGUUGCAACAUGGCCUGAGAAUGUUUCCCUGAAUAAAAUGAUAGCUUUAGAUAUGUACCAUUUUCUCUUUUUUUAUUUUUUAUUUUUAUGAGAGCAGGGGCAGUUCGUGGGUACUUCAAAAAUUGUUUGCGUACGGAAUUUAUGCUUGCCUUUGUAAUAAGAAUUGAAGAUCAUGUCAGUUGUAGUUGUUCCUUUCAAUUUUAGGGUUGGUUUUGGUUAGAUGCUUGCCUUUGUAAUAAAAAUUGAAGAUCAUAUCAGUUGUAAUUGUUUCUUUCAAUUUUAGGGUUGGUUUUGGUUA